UACGGAGGGGGCUAGCGUUGUUCGGAAUUACUGGGCGUAAAGCGCACGUAGGCGGCUUUGUAAGUUAGAGGUGAAAGCCCGGGGCUCAACUCCGGAAUUGCCUUUAAGACUGCAUCGCUAGAAUUGUGGAGAGGUAAGUGGAAUUCCGAGUGUAGAGGUGAAAUUCGUAGAUAUUCGGAAGAACACCAGUGGCGAAGGCGACUUACUGGACUGGUACUGACGCUCAUGAGCGAAAGCGUGGGGAGCGAGCCGG
rnacentral:rRNA from 1 species